GAGAGUCUCUUUGAUUAUAUUUAAUAAAGAGUCGGGCCUGCUCGGUGAUUGAUAUUUAACAGCUGCGGUAUUAUAACUGUACUAAGGUAGCAUAAUAAUUUGCUCUAUAAAUUAGGGCUAGAAUGAAUGGUUUGACGAAAAUUAAACUGUCUCUAUUUUAUUUAUUAGAAAUUAAUUAUUAUAGUGAGAAAGCUUAAAUAAUUUAAAGGGACGAGAAGACCCUAUUGAGCUUAUAUUAGGUUGAUGAAUGAUAUGAAGUGAAUAAUAUUUGUUUAGGUAAUUUUGAUUGGGGUGAUCAAGGAAUAAAAGUAAAGUUAUGUAGUGUGUUAACUUCCUUAAGUGGUUAUAUUGAUAAAUGAAUAAACCGAAUUUUUUGCUUAUAAGAUAAGUUACCAUAGGGAUAACAGCGUAAUUUUUUUUGAGAGUUCAUAUUGAAAAAAGAGAUUGCGACCUCGAUGUUGGAUUAAAAUAACCUUAAGGUGUAGAGGCUUUAUUAGGUGAAUCUGUUCGAUUUUUAAAAUUUU
rnacentral:rRNA from 1 species